rnacentral:rRNA from 1 species
UAUGUCUGCUCCUCUUCACCUGGGAGCUCCUGCGUGAUUCAUGAAUAACUCCUCGAAUCGCAUGGCCUUGCGCCGGCGAUGGUUCAUUCAAAUUUCUUCCCUAUCAACUUUCGAUGUUUGGGUAUUGGCCAAACAUGGUUGCAACGGGUAACGGAGGGUUAGGGCUCGACCCCGGAGAAGGAGCCUGAGAAACGGCUACUACAUCCAAGGAAGGCAGCAGGCGCGCAAAUUACCCAAUCCCGACUCGGGGAGGUAGUGACAAUAAAUACUGAUACAGGGCUCUUUUGGGUCUUGUAAUUGGAAUGAGUACAAUUUAAAUCCCUUAACGAGGAACAAUUGGAGGGCAAGUCUGGUGCCAGCAGCCGCGGUAAUUCCAGCUCCAAUAGCGUAUAUUAAAGUUGUUGUGGUUAAAAAGCUCGUAGUUUAAACCUUGGGCCUGGCUGGCCGGUCCGCCUCACCGCGUGUACUGGUCCGGCCGG